rnacentral:rRNA from 1 species
UUCCGGUUGAUCCUGUCGGAAACCACUGCUAUUGGGACUCGAUUAAGCCAUGCGAGUCGAGAGGGUUCGGCCCUCGGGUGACGGCUCAGUAACACGUGGAUAAUCUGCCCUUAGGUGGAGGAUAACCUCGGGAAACUGAGAAUAAUACUCCAUAGGUCUAGGAUGCUGGAAUGCACUUAGUCUGAAAACUCCGGUGCCUAAGGAUGAAUCUGCGGACUAUCAGGUUGUAGUCAGGGUAAUGACCUGACUAGCCUAUGACGGAUAUGGGUUGUGGGAGCAAUAACCCAGAGAUGAUAUCUGAGACACGAUAUCAGGCCCUACGGGGCGCAGCAGGCGCGAAAACUUCGCAAUGUGCGAAAGCACGACGAGGGAAUCCCAAGUGCUUGCACGUAAGUGUAAGCUGUUUCUCUGUUUAAAACGCAGAGAGAGUAAGGGCUGGGUAAGACGGGUGCCAGCCGCCGCGGUAAUACCUGCAGCUCAAGUGGUGGCCGUUAUUAUUGGGCCUAAAACGUCCGUAGCCCGGUUUAUUAAAUGCCU